CCCGGUGCCCAUAGCGGCGGGGCCACACCAGUUCCCAUUCCGAACACGACGGUUAAGCCCGCUGCGGCGAUGAUACUGCAAUCGCGGGAAAGUAGCUCAGCGCCGGGA
rnacentral:rRNA from 1 species